rnacentral:lncRNA from 1 species
UGUGUGUAUAUCGUUGUCUAUAUAGGAGUCGAUGCUACUGUCAUACAAGUGAUAUGUUUAGCGGUUUAACAAAUCCUUUUGUUCAGAUCUACCAAUAAUAUCUUCUUUAUAUUUUGGUUUUACUUUAGGCUAGGCAAAAGCUUCAAAAUAAGCAAAUAAAAAAAUGGGGUCACCGACCUCGUUUUCGAUUUAAAACGCCAUCUUUUUC